UACAGGGGGGGCAAGCGUUGUUCGGAAUUACUGGGCGUAAAGGGCUCGUAGGUGGCCAACUAAGUCAGACGUGAAAUCCCUCAGCUUAACUGGGGAACUGCGUCUGAUACUGGAUGGCUUGAGUUUGGGAGAGGGAUGCGGAAUUCCAGGUGUAGCGGUGAAAUGCGUAGAUAUCUGGAGGAACACCGGUGGCGAAGGCGGCAUCCUAGACCAACACUGACACUGAGGAGCGAAAGCCAGGGUAGCAAACGGG
rnacentral:rRNA from 1 species